rnacentral:lncRNA from 1 species
AUGCACUAGAUUCUUUGUGAAGACAAUUUAUCCUUUCAGUGUGGCUUUGUUAUUCAUGUUAUUACGCAAAUAGGCAUUUUUACAAGGACAAUUUAUCUCUAGUGGAGCCUUGUAUAAAAUGUUAUGUGAAUUGCAGGUGCUAGGGUGCAAACCUUUUCGAAGUAAGAAAUAAUGAAAACUUUCCGUGGGUGCAAAGUGUCCUUUAAGUUCUUGAUAAUUGGAGGGCCUCAAAAAGUCUUAUCUCCUCGUAAAUAUUUUAUGUUCUAUCAUAAUGGAGAAUCACAGAUUCAGGUAUUUCUUCAUUGUCCUACAGCUUGGAGUAUGUGGCAAUGAUGGUUUGCAUUUGGUCUUGGGCCAUACUGAGGAGAGUAAACAAUUUUUGUUGGUUUCUUUGGUGAGUUUUGAAAGGGAGAAACAUUGCGAAGCUUUACAGAGAUGUGCUGUCAGUACAGUUUUUUGGUGCAUUUGGAUGGAUAAAAAUGCGAGUUUUAAUAAUCACUUCAUGUUUGGGCUGUUGUUGUGGGAUAAGAUAGUUUUCUUGGCUUCUUUGUGGUAUCAUCUAGCAGCUGCUUUUAGGCGUGCUUCUCUAGUGGAUAUUCAAAAGGAUUGGACUGCUUUAUUGUUUAGAUCAAGAUUGUUGUUCGUUUUCCCUUUCUGGGAGGAUGUAUUGUUCUCAAUUUUGUGCGGUAGAAUUCUUCUUUCUAAUAAUAGUUUCUACUUGUGCUCUGAAAAUUAGAAUAAUGAUAAUAAUGCUAAUAAUAACAAAUUAAGAAGAGGGGAUAGAGGGAAAGUGUGGGGGACGGUGCACAACGUUGGUCUCUCAAUCUGAAUGAGACGGGGAUAAGAUAAGAAAAAGAGGAGAGAGUAGGCAAAACAGAAGGAAGUGGAAAGAGGUGAAGUGUACAAAAGCUAUUUCAACCAGUUUAAAAAUUUGCUAAUAACUUGCAAAUUAUGUCUUACAUCAUCAAGUCAUGUAUGGAGACUUCACAA